AACGCAUCUUGCGCUCCUUGGUAUUCCGAGGAGCAUGCCUGUUUGAGUGUCGUGAAUACUCUCAAUCUUAAGUCUUUUCUUUACGAGAAGGCUUAGGGUUGGAUUUGGAUGUUGCUGCGAUUUUAUUGCGGCUCGUCUCAAAAUGUAUUAGCUGGUCCACCUCGGUCUUAACAAACGGUGUGAUAAGAAACAUUCAUUUGUGACUGUAGCGCUGCUGUUAUAGACUGGUGAAAGGACCGCUUCUAAUCGUCUUUGGACAAUUUUCAUGUCAUCUGACCUCAAAUCAGGUAGGACUACCCGCUGAACUUAA
rnacentral:misc_RNA from 1 species